CAGGGGCAAAUAUUCGCUUGCAGCUGAUUCCUGGGAACGCUUUCUUUAAGUGUUGAAUCCUGCUAACGCUGCCCACGAAUUUUAAUAUUCUUGGAGUAGCAAGUAUCUUCCGCCCUGUUUAUUUGAAGAACAGUACGUUUGGGUUUGGAGAUUUUUUUUUUUCCUUCUCCGGCAUUCUGAUAGAGGAAAUGGAAUUGCCUUAGUAGACAAAAACAUUUAACACUGAAUUAUUUUUAGGUUCUCUAACACCAUUGCUCCACAGCAUGGAGUUGUGGAAUAUUUACCUACUUUAUUCUCUCAAAGGAUGGAUUGUUUAAAUUCGGAAAAUAGAAAUUUGACCUGGAAGCUGUUGUCUUUUUAAAGACGAUUAGAAGGAACUGCAGGCUGAUGGGGUCUGUUUGGAUCUUACAUCUCCAGAAGCAAACUCGCUGUGCUCAGGCCUUCUGGAACCGCUCAGGCCGGCGCUGUGCUCCAGCACUCUGCUCGGGUUUCCUGCCAGCCCCUCCCUCUCCACAUCUGCACGCCUGGCUCCCAUGUUUUCUCACGUCUUGCCUGAGAAGGCCUCCCUUUGCACCCCCAGUGAGGAAGAACACGUGGGACACACACGUGCUAACAGCCCCUGGUAAAUCUCUUCCCCUUCAGCUCUCUUCAUAGCAUCCAUCUCGUCGGGUUGGUUUCCUCCAGGAGUAAACACCUUAGAAGCAUGGAAAGAAACGUCUGCGUGCAUCCCACACGUGGACUCCAGUGUCACGGGGCUUUCCUAAGACUGAAUUGACAGUCUGGGUGUCCUGUUCUUCCUUUGAUUUCUCUGAAUCCAUACGCUUCCUACUGAGUCUCCCGGGAUGGGCGCUCGUGAUUCUGUCCAGUCUGCCAGGCACUGCGUCAGUCGUCAGCCCGGUUUACCAGGGAGGGGACUCGGAGUGAGCUCAGUGGCAUGCUCAGCUUCUAUCACGCUGUAGAGACCUGCAGAGUGAGCGACAUGUGGGUGUCCCCAGAGCUGGGCUCCUUCCGUGGUGACCACACAGUCAUCCUUUGAGACUUUGUUCCAUGGUCCUGCUGAACCCUUUCAACAUCACACUCGCCCACCCGCUGGGUCACGUGGAGAAAGACACGGCUGUGCCGGCUGUUGAAAAGGACCCAUGCGUGGAAGGCAGAAGCGGGCACUGCCCCACGACGCUGGAAGCAGCAUGGAACCUUUCUGUUUCUUUCAGUCCAGGGACCACACUGACAGUGCUCACAACUCACUCCUGGCUCUUCACUCAGGGAUCACUCCUGACAGGGCUCCGGGAUCAAACCCAGUCAGCUGCCCACAAGCCGUUUGAGGUUGGAAAUGGUCUCAUCUACAUUGGCAGAGAGACAUUAUUGCCAUUUGAUCUGUGUCUGUGGCAUCCCUGUGGUAGCAGUAGGGAAGGUGCUUUAAUGUAUAUUAGGAGUGAGAGAGAUAAGGCAAUGGGGAAGGUGCUGGCUUUGCACAGGGCCAGCCUGGGUUCAAUCCCAGCAUCUCAUACGGUCCCCUGAGCCCCAUUGGGAGAAAUCACCGAGCACAGAAUCAAGAGUAAGCCCCAAGCACCACGGGAUAUAUCCUGACCCACCCCACCCGCACACCAGAAUAACCCAGGGGCCAGAAAGACAGUUCAAGGGGAUGGGGUGCAUGGUUGCGCCCAACCCUGCCCCGCUCACUCCAGCACUGCCUGGUCUCCCAUGCAUCACUGGACACGGCCCUGGACACCGCACGCUCUGCUGCAGACAGGCCUGAGCGGCACCGCGUCCUUAGCCCGAGCACCCAGCUGCAGGCCUGGAUGGCUGCCGGUGGGGCGGGGCCGCUGGAGAAAGGUCCGAGUGACUGCUCGGGAGGUCCAGAAAUGUGUUUUCAAGUCUCGGGUGUAAAAAGAAAAAUUUAAGAAAAUAAAGUCUCAAGUGUCCAGUUCUGUACUCAUUAACAUUUCAUGAUCUAUAUUUUGUUUCCCUUUGACAAGACCUUUCACUGAAAAUCAUAAA